AAAUCCGAAAGCCCUUCGAUCGCGAUCGAACCAUUGAAAAAUCAAGAAAAAGGGGCUACUAGAAGCUGGUUGAGGAGAGAGAAGGGUCUUCUUCUCCUCCUCCUUCCUUCUCCUUGAUGCUGACUCCCUCUCCCAUCUUCUCUUUGUUCCCCAGCCACCAGCCAUGAGAUCCGGUGAGUGAGAGCUCUAAACUCAAGCGCUUGAUGAGAUGAAUAACUUGGUGGUCAUGGUUCGCGCGACAAGGGCCUGGAUCGAGAGGAAGCUCGAUCAAUAGGAAUCAGCACCGCUGCGAUUCCAUUCUCCGGGCUUUUAUACGCCGAUUCUGGCGAAGAUAGGCCUUGGAGUGAGCUCGAAUCGAAUCCUGGUGAUGGGGAGAGUAUUUUCCCUAAGCCAAUUGAUGUGUGUAUCGGAAAAUGCUGAGGCCACCAUGAACGGCGGCGGGCUUAGCUGCUGCAGGCUUGAUUCCUGCCAAAUGGCUCAUCGGUUCUCUGAAGUGAUGCCAAAAUCGAACUCACCCCAAAUUUCAAGCAGAGUGGUGUAGGCCUCGUGAAGUUCCGGGACAUGAUUUUUCGGCGUUGUGCAGUGGGUCUCCGGCAAGACCUUGAGAGGCAGAAUUCCUCCUUGUCACAACGAUCAUGGUUCUGCAAUCCGAUUUUAAUUUGGUGAGCUCUAGGUCUUGAUAUCUUGUUUUCUCACUAUAUUUAAUUACAGUUAUUAAGUUAGUUCAGUUAAUUUAGUUAACAUAGAUUGACUCAUAUAAUACAAAUCGGGAUUUAAAUUAGUAUAAUUUAUUAAUACAGAAAUGAAGUACUUGUUAUGUUAGAUCCUAAUAUUGAAAAGUUGAGAAACUGAUUAAGUGGAGAAAUUACAUAAUUAUUGGUUGUGAAUUCUUAUCUAAUAUGUUUAUCUGACUUUGGUUAAUUUAAUGUUAAAAUUAUGGAUUAAAUUACAACUCUGUAGUUGAGCUAUGGUGAAACCAAAUUGAAUUUGGUAUUGUGCAAGGAUUAUAUUGUUGAUGAAUUGGUGUAUGAGAAUUAUAUGGUUGAUUCGCUCGAAGGAUGAGCCGUGUGAAUUGGAUGAAUAGAAAUAUUGAAUAAUUGAUAAUAUUGCUAUUGUUUAAGCAGGUAGAUAACCCUUUUUAGGGGAUAUGUUGCCAAACUUUCAGUAGCAGAAACCUAAACAAUGAGAUUAACUAACCUUAUUUUCAGUAAUUAGAAUUUAUGGAAAUUGCUUAACAAAAGACUUAUAAUGAACUUAGACUAGCGUAUUAUAGCACAUAUGAAUUUGGAUAAGUGAGUUAGGUGUUGAAACAAUGAUAAUGCUUGUGGAUUUAAUUGACAGGUGAUGAGACAUGUAGUUACGUGUAGUCAUUAUAACUGUAUUUAGUAAGUAAAGUUGUAAGUGAUGGAGGAUGGGAAUUGACUUGUGGUUGCUUGUCCAAUGGAUGGGCUGUGUUGGAUGUUGAUACAAAUUUAUGCAUUUUAUUGGUUAAAUGAGAAAAUUGAAAAUAUAGGAGUAAAUCCGGUUUUAGGGGAGAUUGUAACACCCCAAAAUUUUAGGUCUUAAAAUGGUAUUACUAUACCGGGUUAUAAAUGAUAUUGUCUGAUAGGAAAAUGAUAUUUAUUUGAUCCAAGAAGGAUAUUAAUAAUUAUGGAUUUAAUUAGACUUUAUAUUAAUCUUGAUUAAUUAAAUUUGAAAUAUGAAUUUCUUAUGGUCAAUUUUUAUUAAUAAAUAAUUUCAUAGGGGUAGUUUAGUAAUUUCACAUGUGUAGAGAUUUAAUUUAUUAAGAUAUGAUUUAUGCUCAUAUAGAUGAGUUAUGGUGCCAUAAAUUAUUUUAGUAAUUUUAAUUAUGUGGAGAAAUAAUUUAUGGCAUGAUAUGUAUAAAUAUAGAGUUUUUAUAAUGUGUAGUUAGACUCAGUAUAGUGUCUAAUUCUAGCCUUAGGAUGAGAGGAACCUAAAAUAAAUUCUGGCCUUCUAUCUAUAAGACUUUUGACCAAGUCAAUCUUGUCUCUACACAAUGGCAAGUUACCAUAUUGCCAUUAAUGAAUUAAUAUGAGUAUUUAGAUGAGAUUUUAAGAUCUAAUCGCCACCGUCCAUUUGGAGAAAUGACCAAAGUGCCUAAAACUCAUAUAAGAUCUAAAUAAUCAAAUGUGCUACAAACCAUCUUCUUCUUCAUCAAAACCCUAGCAAUCCAAACCCAAGCUCUCUUUCUCUCCCCUCAAUUUUUCUUCACAAUACCAUCAAAGACACCAUUUUUUAACAAGUUCAAACACAAAUAUUUAAGUACCUAAGCUAAGUAACUUCUUGCAUCAAAAUCCCGAAUUUUCACCAUUUGAAGGUUCUACCUCCAAGAAUAAGAGAAAAGAUGUGUUAGAGGCUAGUGUUUUGGAGGUUUGUGCUAUUUUUCCACCAUUUUAGAUAUUUUAGAAAUUUCUUAUUUGGUUUGAUGUUAUUAUGCAAGAAAAUGUAAUUUUUAUGUUACUUUUGCCUUGAUAUAUGCUUAAGUUGCAUUUUUUGAGCUUAAUAUGCUUUAUGCGGUAAUUUAUUUUUAGUGUCUAAUCCUAGUCCGAAAAUGUUGAGGUUGUCCUCCUUUUAUUUUUCCUGGUUUUCAUGUUAUUUUUAUAUUAUGGUGGAUAGCUUUUAUAAUUUUAUGGUAUAGAUGUAAUAUGAGCUUAUUUGUGCAAAAUGAGUAAUUUUUCCUUGUGUUUUGCAUUAGAUAUUUGAUCAUUUAGAGGGCUUUUCCUCUUUAUUUUUCAUGUUAAAAAUUAUUAUCUUGAUGACUAAAAUGAAAUAUAAUUGUGAUUUGAUGAUAAGAGUAUGGCAGAUGUUCAAAUUGAUGAGAAAAAUGCAUUUUGAUGUAUUUUUACUUGGAAUUAAGUGUGGGGCUGCUACCUCUCACUAUUUCAUAUUUAAUAUCUUAUUUUGAAUUAAUUAUUUAUGGUAAUGAAACAUAUAUUAAGGUGGGUCUCAAGUCUCAUGAAGUAUGAUUGGUGAUUUGAUGAUUUAAACGUGUUUUUAUGUUGAUGUGUUAAUUAAAAUGAACUUGGGGUGCAAAUAGUAUAUUUUAAUUUUAUGAUAUGUAAUGAAAAUGUUAAUGAUGUUAUAUGAUGUGAAUUAUAAGUCUAAUGUGAUUAUUAGUGAAUUAUGUGACAUAAUUAAAGUUAAAUGAUAAUUGGGUCAAACCCAUUAGGCUAAAGCCCAAUUAUAAAAUCUCAAGGAUAAAUUGGAUAUGUUCCAUUGACUCAUGACACAAUACCUAUGCCUUGAGGAGUUAAUAGAACAAAUGAAUGAUUUAAGGACUAAGUAUAAAAUUACUAUGGACUUGACUAUAAUUAGGAUGAUAAUUAACUAACAUUGAUGAUGAUAAUCAUUAGGACUUAAUUAAUUGACUACGUGUAGUAUAAUUAAUUGAUUAAAUGAUUAAAAAGGAUAUUUAGAUUAAUUAGGCGAGCUAAUGGUAAAUAAGGAAAAUAAUAUAAUUUUAUGGCUAUUAAGUUAAUAGGUAGCUAUUAGAACGAUUUAGUAGUUAAAAUAAAUUAGUGGAUUUAAUAAUCCUAAUUGGGUCAAUUAAUUUAUUAAUUGAUCAAUUUAAGUUUUAAUUAUGAGAAUAUAAUUAUGAGAAUAUAAGAGAAUAUGAAAAUUAUGGAUAAAUUAGGUGGUCAUUUGUCAUGUUGGAUUUAAUACAUUGUGAAUGUGCCGAAGUCUUGAAAAUUGUGUCAAUUAAUGAAAAAAAAAUGAUUAUGUGAACGCAUAGUAUAAUUGAUAAAUUAAUUGAAUGAUAUGAAUUUAAGUGCCAUGAUUGAAUAUUUUGUGAAAUAAAAUAUUCUUUAUGUGCAUGAUAUGAAUUUAUGUAGUUAUAUAUGAAUUAUGAGAUUUUAAGUAUGGUUAUGUACUUAAUAUGUGAUUUUAUGGAAUUGAAAUUAUGAUGAAAUAUUUAGUAUGGAAAAAUAUGAUUUUUAUGAAAAAAUGAAAUUUAUGAAAGAGAACAUUUUUCAGUUUGUAAGAAAAGAUUCCGGUGUAUUUAUGAGACAGUAAAUUCUAAAUGUUGAUAUGUGAAUUAAGAAAUGAAUUAAAUAUAAUAAAUCUUUUAUCAGUCCUAGUUCACUUGGUCAAGUCAGUAGUAGUAUAGAGGUAUGAUAU